rnacentral:rRNA from 1 species
UCAGGACGAACGCUGGCGGCGUGCCUAACACAUGCAAGUCGAGCGAGGAGAUUCCUUCGGGAUGAUCCUAGCGGCGGACGGGUGAGUAACACGUGGGCAACCUGCCUCAUAGAGAGGAAUAGCCUUCCGAAAGGGAGAUUAAUACCUCAUAACAUUGCAGUUUCGCAUGGAACAGCAAUUAAAGGAGUAAUCCGCUAUGAGAUGGGCCCGCGGCGCAUUAGCUAGUUGGUGAGGUAACGGCUCACCAAGGCGACGAUGCGUAGCCGACCUGAGAGGGUGAUCGGCCACAUUGGGACUGAGACACGGCCCAGACUCCUACGGGAGGCAGCAGUGGGGAAUAUUGCACAAUGGGGGAAACCCUGAUGCAAGCAACGCCGCGUGAGUGAUGACGGCCUUCGGGUUGUAAAGCUCUGUCUUCAGGGACGAUAAUGACGGUACCUGAGGAGGAAGCCACGGCUAACUACGUGCCAGCCGCUGC